rnacentral:snRNA from 1 species
GUGCUUGUUUUAGCAGCACAUAUGCUAAAGUUGGAAUGAUACAGAGAAGAUUAGCCUGGCCUCUGUGCCAGGAUGACGCACAUUUGUAAGGUGUUCCAUAAUUUU